rnacentral:lncRNA from 1 species
AGGAAAUGCUCUUGACCAUCUGCUGCUGCUCUAAGAAACGAGUGUUUACUACCAGAAAUAUCGGAGGUAUCUGGGAUAGAUCACAGCAGAGUGUAAGGGCAGAGUGCAGCCACUUAUGCAAAGCUGUGCCACGGUCAUCGCCAGCCUGGAGUUGGAAGCUGCUCAGUCAGCAGCAGCCUCCUCCCGUGGCACCGGGAGGCUGCAGCCCGCAGCGUGCUCAGCGAGCCCUGGAGCAGUAGGGAGUACAAGGAUGGACACGGGGAUUUUGCUAUGGCCAAGCAGUAGGGACGGUUGGUGUGAUGCACCUCAUCUGAAGGGACAGGGUACAGAGGAGCGAUGAAAUGGGCUCCACGUGCUGGGGGAGCCGGCAGUGGGCAAGGAAAACUGCCUCGUGCUCAGUGGAUGUCAGCCAGAACCAACCCUGGGAAUCAGCUCCUUGCUCAGUGCCCUCUGCCAUGGAGGCAGCAAA